rnacentral:ncRNA from 1 species
AAACUUGAGAGUUUGAUCCUGGCUCAGAACGAACGCUGGCGGCAUGCCUAACACAUGCAAGUCGAACGAAGCCUUCGGGCUUAGUGGCGCACGGGUGCGUAACGCGUGGGAAUCUGCCCUUGGGUUCGGAAUAACAGUUA